AGGAAAAGAAACCAACAGGGAUUGCCCUAGUAACGGCGAGUGAAGCGGCAACAGCUCAAAUUUGAAAUCUGGCGCAAGCCCGAGUUGUAAUUUGUAGAGGAUGCUUCUAGGUAGCGACCGGUCUAAGUUCCUUGGAACAGGACGUCAUAGAGGGUGAGAAUCCCGUAUGUGACUGGCCCGCACCUUCUACGUAGCUCCUUCGACGAGUCGAGUUGUUUGGGAAUGCAGCUCUAAAUGGGAGGUAAAUUUCUUCUAAAGCUAAAUACCGGCCAGAGACCGAUAGCGCACAAGUAGAGUGAUCGAAAGAUGAAAAGCACUUUGGAAAGAGAGUUAAAAAGCACGUGAAAUUGUUGAAAGGGAAGCGCUCACAACCAGACUUCUAGGCAGUGUUCCGCCGGUCUUUUGACCGGUCUACUCUCUGUCUCGAGGCCAACAUCAUCUGGGACCGCCGGAUAAGACCUUAGGAAUGUAGCUCCCCUCGGGGAGUGUUAUAGCCUCUGGUGAUGCGGCGCGUCUCGGGUGAGGUCCGCGCUUCGGCAAGGAUGUUGGCGUAAUGGUUGUCAGCGGCCCGUCUUGAAACACGGACCAAGGAGUCUAACAUCUAUGCGAGUGUUCGGGUGUCAAACCCCUACGCGUAAUGAAAGUGAACGGAGGUGGGAAGCGUAAGCUGCACCAUCGACCGAUCCUGAUGUCCUCGGAUGGAUUUGAGUAAGAGCAUAGCUGUUGGGACCCGAAAGAUGGUGAACUAUGCCUGAAUAGGGUGAAGCCAGAGGAAACUCUGGUGGAGGCUCGCAGCGGUUCUGACGUGCAAAUCGAUCGUCAAAUUUGGGUAUAGGGGCGAAAGACUAA
rnacentral:rRNA from 1 species